rnacentral:rRNA from 1 species
CGGGACACGUGGUAUCCUGUCUGAAUAUGGGGGGACCAUCCUCCAAGGCUAAAUACUCCUGACUGACCGAUAGUGAACCAGUACCGUGAGGGAAAGGCGAAAAGAACCCCGGCGAGGGGAGUGAAAAAGAACCUGAAACCGUGUACGUACAAGCAGUGGGAGCACGCUUAGGCGUGUGACUGCGUACCUUUUGUAUAAUGGGUCAGCGACUUAUAUUCUGUAGCAAGGUUAACCGAAUAGGGGAGCCGAAGGGAAACCGAGUCUUAACUGGGCGUUAAGUUGCAGGGUAUAGACCCGAAACCCGGUGAUCUAGCCAUGGGCAGGUUGAAGGUUGGGUAACACUAACUGGAGGACCGAACCGACUAAUGUUGAAAAAUUAGCGGAUGACUUGUGGCUGGGGGUGAAAGGCCAAUCAAACCGGGAGAUAGCUGGUUCUCCCCGAAAGCUAUUUAGGUAGCGCCUCGUGAAUUCAUCUCCGGGGGUAGAGCACUGUUUCGGCAAGGGGGUCAUCCCGACUUACCAACCCGAUGCAAACUGCGAAUACCGGAGAAUGUUAUCACGGGAGACACACGGCGGGUGCUAACGUCCGUCGUGAAGAGGGAAACAACCCAGACCGCCAGCUAAGGUCCCAAAGUCAUGGUUAAGUGGGAAACGAUGUGGGAAGGCCCAGACAGCCAGGAUGUUGGCUUAGAAGCAGCCAUCAUUUAAAGAAAGCGUAAUAGCUCACUGGUCGAGUCGGCCUGCGCGGAAGAUGUAACGGGGCUAAACCAUGCACCGAAGCUGCGGCAGCGACGCUGAUGCGUUGUUGGGUAGGGGAGCGUUCUGUAAGCCUGUGAAGGUGUGCUGUGAGGCAUGCUGGAGGUAUCAGAAGUGCGAAUGCUGACAUAAGUAACGAUAAAGCGGGUGAAAAGCCCGCUCGCCGGAAGACCAAGGGUUCCUGUCCAACGUUAAUCGGGGCAGGGUGAGUCGACCCCUAAGGCGAGGCCGAAAGGCGUAGUCGAUGGGAAACAGGUUAAUAUUCCUGUACUUGGUGUUACUGCGAAGGGGGGACGGAGAAGGCUAUGUUGGCCGGGCGACGGUUGUCCCGGUUUAAGCGUGUAGGCUGGUUUUCCAGGCAAAUCCGGAAAAUCAAGGCUGAGGCGUGAUGACGAGGCACUACGGUGCUGAAGCAACAAAUGCCCUGCUUCCAGGAAAAGCCUCUAAGCAUCAGGUAACAUCAAAUCGUACCCCAAACCGACACAGGUGGUCAGGUAGAGAAUACCAAGGCGCUUGAGAGAACUCGGGUGAAGGAACUAGGCAAAAUGGUGCCGUAACUUCGGGAGAAGGCACGCUGAUAUGUAGGUGAAGCGACUUGCUCGUGGAGCUGAAAUCAGUCGAAGAUACCAGCUGGCUGCAACUGUUUAUUAAAAACACAGCACUGUGCAAACACGAAAGUGGACGUAUACGGUGUGACGCCUGCCCGGUGCCGGAAGGUUAAUUGAUGGGGUCAGCGCAAGCGAAGCUCUUGAUCGAAGCCCCGGUAAACGGCGGCCGUAACUAUAACGGUCCUAAGGUAGCGAAAUUCCUUGUCGGGUAAGUUCCGACCUGCACGAAUGGCGUAAUGAUGGCCAGGCUGUCUCCACCCGAGACUCAGUGAAAUUGAACUCGCUGUGAAGAUGCAGUGUACCCGCGGCAAGACGGAAAGACCCCGUGAACCUUUACUAUAGCUUGACACUGAACAUUGAGCCUUGAUGUGUAGGAUAGGUGGGAGGCUUUGAAGUGUGGACGCCAGUCUGCAUGGAGCCGGCCUUGAAAUACCACCCUUUAAUGUUUGAUGUUCUAACGUUGACCCGUGAUCCGGGUUGCGGACAGUGUCUGGUGGGUAGUUUGACUGGGGCGGUCUCCUCCUAAAGAGUAACGGAGGAGCACGAAGGUUGGCUAAUCCUGGUCGGACAUCAGGAGGUUAGUGCAAUGGCAUAAGCCAGCUUGACUGCGAGCGUGACGGCGCGAGCAGGUGCGAAAGCAGGUCAUAGUGAUCCGGUGGUUCUGAAUGGAAGGGCCAUCGCUCAACGGAUAAAA